UCGAAGUCAGUUUCCAGGGAGGUAAUAGAGAAGGGGACUUUUUAUGCAAGAGGGGCACUGGUCAAAGGCAACAAAAUAUAUACCUAUGAAAAGAAAGAGCCAAAAAAGUUUAACACAAAUGAGAGAAGUGUCUUGAGACCUCGCUCUCGAAAGAAUUCAAUUUAUAGGAAGGGGGAAAUACAGAAGCAGGCAGGGAGUUCCAGAGUUUACCAGAAAAAGGGAUGAAAGAUUGAAAAUACUGGUUAACUUUUGCAUUAGAGAGGUGGACAGAAUAGGGGUGAGCAAAAGUAGAAAGUCGUGUGCAACGAGGGCGCGGGAGGAUGGAAGGCAUGCAGUUAGCAAGAUCAGAAGAACAGUUGACGAGAAAAUAUCGAUAGAAGAUAGCAGGAGAUGCGACAUUGCGGGGAAGAGAGAGAGGCUGAAGACAUUCAGUUAGAGGAGAGGAGCUGGUAAGACGAAAGGCUGGUCUGGUCUGGGGGGACAGUCUCGUUAGGGGGACAGUAACCUGAUGAAGCGAGCAAACACGCGGUUCAAGAUUGUCCCAGAAACGAGUAAUCAUUGGUGACCGUCCUUAGCUCGGGACAGGACCAUCAGCUGGGCGGCGGCGGUAGUGGUGGCGACGGCGGUUGUGGUGGUAAGGUUAUACGAAGAGGAAGAAAAGGAAGAGAAGUAAAAGGAAAAGCCAGAGGAGGAGAAAGAAAAAUAGAAGAAGGCGCGAGAGAAGGAGAUGAGGAGGAGAAGGAGGAAAGCGCUAUAGAAGAAAGAAGAGCACCUCCCGCCUCGCGCCUUCCUUCCUCCCGUCUCCCGGAGUGUACACACCUGCACUCUUGAGGCUGCUGGCGAGAAGAACUGUGUCCCAAGCCCUCCACCAUGGCCGCCGCUCCGAAAGUUUGCGUCCGUCGCGCGAAGCUCAUCUUCCUGAUGGAGAACGCAGGCAAGGACGUCUUGACCUUCGUGUUGAAGCGCGGCGC